UACGUAGGGACCAAGCGUUGUUCGGAUUUACUGGGCGUAAAGGGCGCGUAGGCGGCAAUUCAAGUCAUCUGUGAAAUCUCCGGGCUUAACUCGGAACGGUCAGAUGAUACUGCUUUGCUAGAGUGCAGAAGGGGCAAUCGGAAUUCUUGGUGUAGCGGUGAAAUGCGUAGAGAUGUGGAGGAACACCGAUGGCGAAGGCAGCCCCCUGGGCCGAUACUGACGCUCAUGCACGAAAGCGUGGGGAGCAAACAGG
rnacentral:rRNA from 1 species